rnacentral:misc_RNA from 1 species
CAAAUCUUUGGGGGCUAGCCGCUGCGCAAGCAGUGUGCUGGUCUCACAUUAGCACAAGGUCGCAAGGCCUUGAUGUUUACGCUUGUUUGUUUGACAGAGUUAGUUGAGAAUAAUAAAAGA